rnacentral:rRNA from 1 species
AUUGAACGCUGGCGGCAGGCCUAACACAUGCAAGUCGAACGGUAACAGGAAACAGCUUGCUGUUUCGCUGACGAGUGGCGGACGGGUGAGUAAUGUCUGGGAAACUGCCUGAUGGAGGGGGAUAACUACUGGAAACGGUAGCUAAUACCGCAUAACGUCGCAAGACCAAAGAGGGGGACCCUCGGGCCUCUUGCCAUCGGAUGUGCCCAGAUGGGAUUAGCUUGUUGGUGGGGUAACGGCUCACCAAGGCGACGAUCCCUAGCUGGUCUGAGAGGAUGACCAGCCACACUGGAACUGAGACACGGUCCAGACUCCUACGGGAGGCAGCAGUGGGGAAUAUUGCACAAUGGGCGCAAGCCUGAUGCAGCCAUGCCGCGUGUAUGAAGAAGGCCUUCGGGUUGUAAAGUACUUUCAGCGGGGAGGAAGGGAGUAAAGUUAAUAACUUUGCUCAUUGACGUUACCCGCAGAAGAAGCACCGGCUAACUCCGUG